AGCUCCAAUAGCGUAUAUUAAAAUUGUUGCAGUUAAAAAGCUCGUAGUUGGAUUUCUGGUACGGCGCACUUGGCCCGCUUCGGUUACGAGGUCGAGUGCCGGUGUGCGCCUGCCAUCCUUCUAGAGUACGUCUCUCCCUUCAGUGGGUUGGGCCGGAAUCUAGAUCAUUUACUUUGAAAAAAUUAGAGUGUUUAAAGCAGGCUUACGCUAUGAAUACAUUAGCAUGGAAUAAUAAUUUAGGACUUUGGUCUUAUUUUGUUGGUUUCUAGGACUAAAGUAAUGAUUGAUAGGGACAGUUGGGGGUGCUAGUAUUCAGCGGCCAGAGGUGAAAUUCUUGGAUUCGCUGAAGACUAACUUAUGCGAAAGCAUUCACCAAGGAUGUCUUCU
rnacentral:rRNA from 1 species